GGUUGAUCCUGCCAGUAGUCAUAUGCUUGUCUCAAAGAUUAAGCCAUGCAUGUCUAAGUAUAAGCAUUAUACAGUGAAACUGCGAAUGGCUCAUUAAAUCAGUUAUAGUUUAUUUGAAGAUAAUACCAUUAGGAUAACCGUGGUAAUUCUAGAGCUAAUACUUGCUUUGGGCUUUAUUAGAUAUGAAUCACAAUAACUUCAGAUCGUCUUUGACGCUUCAUUCAAAUUUCUGCCCUAUCAGCUAGAUGGCACGGUAGUGGCGUACCAUGGCAGUAACGGGUAACGGGGAAUU
rnacentral:rRNA from 1 species